UACGGAGGGUGCGAGCGUUAAUCGGAAUUACUGGGCGUAAAGGGUGCGUAGGUUGUUUAGUAAGUUAUCUGUGAAAUCCCUGGGCUUAACCUGGGACGGUCAGAUAAAACUGUUAAACUAGAGUAUAGGAGAGGGUAGUGGAAUUUCCGGUGUAGCGGUGAAAUGCGUAGAGAUCGGAAAGAACACCAGUGGCGAAGGCGGCUACCUGGCCUAAUACUGACACUGAGGCACGAAAGCGUGGGGAGCAAACAGG
rnacentral:rRNA from 1 species